rnacentral:rRNA from 1 species
UGAGUACGAGCUGCUACGGCAGCGAAGUGGGUGACGUCAAGCUUCCAAGAAAAGCCCUAUACCCGUUAAGGCAUGAUGGCCUGUACCCGAAACCGACACAGGUGGGGUGGUAGAGAAUACCGAGGGGCGCGAGGUAACUCUCUCUAAGGAACUCGGCAAAAUGGCCCCGUAACUUCGGGAGAAGGGGUGCCACCGCAAGGUGGUCGCAGUGAAGAGGCCCAGGCGACUGUUUACCAAAAACACAGGUCUCCGCUAAGUCGCAAGACGAUGUAUGGGGGCUGACGCCUGCCCAGUGCCGGAAGGUUAAGGAAGCUGGUCAGCGUAAGCGAAGCUGGCGACUGAAGCCCCGGUGAACGGCGGCCGUAACUAUAACGGUCCUAAGGUAGCGAAAUUCCUUGUCGGGUAAGUUCCGACCCGCACGAAAGGCGUAACGAUCUGGGCGCUGUCUCGGAGAGAGGCUCGGCGAAAUAGAAUUGUCUGUGAGGAUGCGGACUACGUGCACCCGGACAGAAAGACCCUAUGAAGCUUUACUGUAGCUUGGUAUUGUGCCCGGGCUCUGAAUGCGCAGGAUAGGUGGGAGGCUUUGAUCCAUUGCUUGUGGGUGAUGGUGAGCCAACGGUGAGAUACCACUCUUUCAGAGCUAGGGUUCUAACGGUCACCCGUCAUCCGGGGACCGGACAGUAUCAGGUGGGCAGUUUGACUGGGGCGGUCGCCUCCUAAAAGGUAACGGAGGCGCGCAAAGGUUUGCUCAGGCUGGUUGGAAAUCAGCCGACGAGUGUAAAAGCAGAAGCAAGCUUGACUGUGAGACCUACAAGUCGAACAGGGACGAAAGUCGGCUUUAGUGAUCCGACGGUUCUGAGUGGAAGGGCCGUCGCUCAACGGAUAAAAGUUACUCUAGGAUAACAGGCUGAUCUCCCCCAAGAGUUCACAUCGACGGGGAGGUUUGGCACCUCGAUGUCGGCUCAUCGCAACCUGGGGCUGAAGUCGGUCCCAAGGGUUGGGCUGUUCGCCCAUUAAAGCGGUACGCGAGCUGGGUUCAGAACGUCGUGAGACAGUUCGGUCCAUAUCCGGUGCAUGCGCAGGAAUAUUGAGAGGAUUUCUCCCUAGUACGAGAGGACCGGGAGGAACGCACCUCUGGUGUGCCAGUUAUCGUGCCAACGGUAAACGCUGGGUAGCCAUGUGCGGAGAGGAUAACCGCUGAAAGCAUCUAAGUGGGAAGCCCACCUCAAGAUGAGUAUUCCCAUGGCGUUAGCCAGUAAGGUCACGGGAAGAACACCCGUUGAUAGGCUCUACGUGGAAGCCGGGUAACCGGUGAAGCGGAGGAGUACUAAUAGACCGAGGGCUUGACC